GACGAACGCUGGCGGCGUGCUUAACACAUGCAAGUCGAACGGAAAGGCCCUGCUUUUUUGGGGUGCUCGAGUGUCGAACGGGUGAGUAACACGUGAGUAACCUGCCCUUGACUUUGGGAUAACUUCAUGAAACUGGGGCUAAUACCGGAUAGGAGCUCCUGCUGCAUGGUGUGGGUUGGAAAGUUUCGGCGGUUGGGGAUGGACUCGCGUCUUAUCAGCUUGUUGGUGGGGUAGUGGCUUACCAAGGCUUUGACGGGUAGCCGGCCUGAGAGGGUGACCGGCCACAUUGGGACUGAGAUACGGCCCAGACUCCUACGGGAGGCAGCAGUGGGGAAUAUUGCACAAUGGGCGGAAGCCUGAUGCAGCAACGCCGCGUGCGGGAUGACGGCCUUCGGGUUGUAAACCGCUUUCGCCUGUGACGAAGCGUGAGUGACGGUAAUGGGUAAAGAAGCACCGGCUAACUACGUG
rnacentral:rRNA from 1 species